CCAUUGAUGCUGAACUGGUGACCAUCAGUAGUACAGCGCAACAUAAUUGCGUUCUUGAUGUGAUCAGAGCCGCUAAUGCCAAUGCCAUCGUAGACACCUGGAUAGAACACUCCAACCAGGGCUGUCUAGGUUCAACAGUGUGUCAGUACAUUGAUGACCCUGCUGGAGCGUGCAGCACCGCCUUCGACUGCAAUGUCAACAAGCCAUAUGUUUGCAUGAACAUGUAAACGUCAACAGCGGCCCUUAAUCAUACAAGGCAUGAGCAAACUGACUCUGCAUGCCAUAAAUUGGCCAAUAAGCUUUUUAAUCUGUCCCAAAUUUGCUUCUUUACUGCUAUUGAAUAAAUUAUUUCUGAAGCUAGAGAGUGGAGGGUGGGGUCUGCAGAUCAGCGCUAAGACAGAGAAACAAGAUUCCUACGACUAGGUUCUGUAAAAAAAUUACUUUUUAUAGGACAUUUGUGUGUUUGUUUUCUUGUUUGGCUGUGUUGUUUGUCACAUUUUUGCUCGAUGAUAAACAAGUCAAGGAGGUUGUCGUUGGUGCGUUCACAUACUCUUGAUGUUCAAUGUUUGAUUGUUCAUCUACACUCUGGGUGUUUUAAUCAAUAAAAAUCUGCAAAUUA